AGGGCACCGGCUGUCUCUGGCACCUCUCCGCGUAACCUCCCUUCCCCUUACCCCCGAGGGCGCUGCUGGCCGGGCCGCCGAAGCCUUUCGUCCCCGAGCGCCCCCCGUCGCGGAAGUCCGGUUGGAGUCCCAGCCUGGCCCGUGGCCCAGCUGUCCUUUACCUCUUCCCCAGCCAGCGGCACAGAGGGACUUCAGAACCCAGAACUGAAGCCAACCACCUCUGUGUGCAAUACCCUGACACACACCCCUAGCCCUUCCUCCUUCCCCGCCCCUCUGCUUCUCAAGUGUGGGGAUGAAUCAUUUGUCCCCGCUGCAGUUGUCCCUCUUGGGCAGGGUCAGGGGGUGUCUUAAUGGGACCUUAGAGUGGGUUUGCUGGCUGACCGUCUUCUAGGCCGCUCCUCCACCCUGCCCACCUUCUUCCUACCAGACUGCCCUGGCUUUCUAGGCGGCAUUCUGGAGCCACCACUGCUUUUAUGGGUGAGGGAUGGGGACAGAGCUGGCCAGCCGAGCACCUUGGUCCUUUAUCCUCUGCACAAAUAUUGACUGAGCAUCCUCCACAGGCCUGGCCUGCGUGGGCACCGGGGACUGGUUGGUGAACCUCUCAGAGUGGAGUGGAGGAGAAGCAGGGUGCACGAGCAGAGCAGUAUCAUGUGAUCAGUGGCCCCUGGGCUGGAGAGGACGGCCAGGAAUCCCAGCUCUGCCACCACAUCUGACAUAACUGAGGCUGCCCACCCCAGUGGCCUGUUUCCUCAUCCAGAGACUGGGAAGGUGCUUCGUCUGGCUGAACCUCUGAUGCUCCUCAGUUCUGACCAAAUGGUUAUUUCUGAAGCAGAGGAGCAGUCAGCCUCCCUCUCCACCCGGAAUCUCUGAUUCCCGACUAUAGCUCUCCAUCACUCCUGGACUGGGGGGCAGAGAGCAGUGGAUGGCUUGAAAACUCCAGGCAUUCUGGGAAAGCCUCGUCCCCGAUGUAUGGACAAGCAGCUGCUGCCUCCAUCCCACACAGCAGAAUGGUUAGCACAGCAGUUUCCUGGGUCAGAGGAACCUGCUGUGUGUUUGCUGGGUGACUUUGUGUGAGUGAUUCAGCCUCUCUGCGGCUCAGUUUCCUCAUCCAGAAGACAGAGGUACUGGUCCUCACCCUGUAGGGCUGCUGGGAACACUGGAUGGUAACGUGUGUAGAGCACUCAGCAGUGUCUGGCACGGGGAUGAGGAAACUGAGAGCCGAAAAGGUUAAGCAACUUUCCCAAAUUUACAGAGCGGGUCCCUGAGGUAUUUGGAAAUUUGUUAAGGAAUUUGGGGGCUCAAGAUUCUGGUUUUUAAAUAUCUUUCGACUGUCCAUGUGGCGGCGAUCUGUGCCACCCACCUUGUUAUUUCAGUCUGUUCUGGGAGAUGGAUGGCCCAGGCUCUGAUUUAAGAUCUGCCGCGGCAAUCCUCAAUUUCCCAUGUCUCAUGGGGGACAGUGACAAGGCAGCAAGCACACGGAAGACGGCUUAGCUGUGCCCAGACUCCAGGCCCAAGAGCCCACAGCACUUGCAGAAAAAGUUCCAACCAGAAAAACCUGGGCAAAAACAGACAGGCCCAGCAGACCUUUCCCGCAGGUGAUGUGGAAACCCAUUCAUCAUAGAGCCGGAGGGGCCCCAGAGGUGAGCUGAACCAACUCCCUCAUCUCACAGCUGGGCACACUGAGGCCCAGAGAAGUUGCAUGACUUACCCAAGGCCAUGCAGAAGUGAACUGAGCCUCCAACUGCAUCUCCUUUUUCAGGAAAAGCCCUCUUACUUGCCUCCUAUCCCCCAGUUCUGCCCUGUUCUGGAUGAAUUCCUCUUCUGGAUGAAUCAACCUCUCUGUUGUUGAAAUAAAACAAAAAGGUGGGGGCCUUGCUUCUGCCAGCCACUGUACAUAUGAUCCCAUUUCCUCCUCUUACCAUCCCCGUGGGUCAAUGGGUCCGAGGUUGCCAGGCUUUGCCAGCUCAUGGAUUCGGAACACCGCAUCUCACUGAAACCCCUCUCCUGCCCCACCAGGUCCUCCAGCCAAAGCCCCUUGAAAAGCUACUUCACCUACAAGGGUUUCUAUAAAUCCCUCAAAGGGACAUUAAGUUACUCCCAGACCAACCUGUCACCUGCAUUCACCUCUAGCAUGUUCUCUGCUCCUGCUCUAAGAAACUGCCAGAGGCAAAGCAGCUACUUGAAGGAGUGCCUCAUCCUAGCCUCA